UACGUAGGUGGCUAGCGUUGUCCGGAUUUACUGGGCGUAAAGGGCGCGUAGGCGGGAUGGCAAGUCGGUCGUGAAAUCCUUCGGCUCAACCGAAGAACGUCGGCCGAUACUGCCGUUCUUGAGGGAUGCAGAGGAGAUUGGAAUUCCCGGUGUAGCGGUGAAAUGUGUAGAGAUCGGGAGGAACACCGGUGGCGAAGGCGACUUCCUGGCCUGUUCUUGACGCUGAGGCGCGAAAGCUAGGGGAGCAAACGGG
rnacentral:rRNA from 1 species